UUAGAAAAGGCAAAAAGACACACACACACAAAAUGUAAAAUGGAUAUAACAUAAAAUUUACCAUUUUGGCUGUUUUUAAGUGGACAGUCCGCUGGCAUUAACAUUACACUGCGGGGCAGCCAUCAUCCCCAUCCGUUUCCAGAACUUUCUCAUCCUUCCCGUCUGGACCUCUGUCUCCAGGACACACUGACUCCUCCGUCCCCCAGCCCCUCCCCCACCCUUCUGCUGUCUGUCUCUAGGAAUUCGACGACUCCAGGUAAGCGUCCGGUUCUGCUACACUUUGUUCAAAUCCCUGAUAGACUGUUUUCUUUUGCACGUCGGAAAACAGCUCCGUGAACCUCGGGGCCUCCUCACACCUCCACAGCUUCUGUCCGGUCAUAGUGACACCUCGGCCUGGCUUCACGUUUUCAUCUCUGCGCUUACCUCCCCGGGGAGGGUCCCUGGUGGCAGGUUCUAGAUACUGCUUCUUGGAUUCCUGGCCCUUCAGAGCGUCUGUGAUGCAGGGCCAGGCUCAGCAGCGUGGUGAGCAAAUGAAGCUGAAUCCCAUAGGGACCUGGGAGCGCUUGCUUUGCAGUUUCCAUUGGUGGAAAGCGGUGAGAAAAGAAGCGAGUGCUUUUUAGGCCAAGUGGAAUCUGCCGUAGUAUUGAGCUCAGGUAGGGGCUCUGGGCAUCCUUUCGUCCUGCCACUGAUGCACUGAUGCUUUGAUGGCCUCCUGGUAUUGGUUAUGGGUCACGCUUUUCAUUGGCAGCCUGGUUUUUGGGUGUGUGUGUGUGAUGGGGGCGGCCUGGUUUUCGGGUCCGCGUGUGAGGGGGGAGCCUCAGGAAGAUGCUGCUCUGGUCCUGCCUCCGGGUUGUCCUGGUGCUGCAGGUAACCCUCCGAUCCCGCUGUGGCUGCGUGAAGACAGGGAGCAGCAAUUCCAAACAGAAGUUGUGUUCGCUGCGAGAGGGCGCUGAUGCCACUGCAGCUACUUUGAACCCGUGAGGCCGCAGCGAGCCGCCUCCGUGUGGGGCUGAGGUCAGGUGUCGGGCUGGGUUUUGGUGGUGCUGUUGCCGGUGGUUGGGAGGGGACCGCCGGGCAUUCCCUGUGAGUCUGCGACGCUGGUUCCCCUUGCCUCGGGGAUGGGACGGCGCCGUGCUGGGCCACCUGGCAAACACACUGGGCUUGGUUCUCGUGGCAGGUCAGGAUGUGGCUCCCGGGGCCGUUGGGUCCAGGAAUCAUUGCCUGAAGCAAACCGCGUGCGCUCAGUGUCCGAGGCUAACAGGGUCGAGCGAGGCUCGGGCGGUUCGGGACCAGUAGGCAGAAUAACUGCAGCGGGUUUUCCCACUCCUCAGCGGUGAGGUCCGAGGAGUCCUUUUCGAUCAGAGCUUCCCGGCCUCGAGCCGUACUGGUUCCAGCACUCACUGCUCUCCUUCCGCGGCUUCCAUAACACAGGGCCUCCGGCUGCCUGUCUUAAGAAAGGUGCUUCAUAGGGACAGCUGUGUGCCCGGCGGUAUAGCGGCCUUUUAAGGGCACUGGGCUCGAACGUGGAUACAGGAUUGGCUCUCUUCAUGUGGGGCCAGUCUUUCUCGUUUCCUGAAGUGGAGAACAGCGUCCCAAAGCUGACCUAUGACCAGUAAAAGUGCUGUCUCUUGGA